rnacentral:lncRNA from 1 species
GAGAUGGACCAGACCUUCAAGCACUGGGGCAAGGGCCGUGCUGCCAAGCGCCUCUCCAGCUUUUCCAUCCCCAUUCCAAAACAAAAGCAGAGAGACAUAUUUGGGUCUGGUUGCUGUUGUUCAAAAGGUCAAGAGUGUUUUACCGAUACCAUUAAACAAUGUGUGUGCUCGGCGUGGUGGCUCACGCCUGUAAUUCUAGCACUUUGGGAGGCCGAGACAAGUGGAUCAACUGCGGUCAGGAGAUCAAGAGCAGCCCAGCCAACAUGGUGAAACCCUGUCUCCACUAAAAAUACAAAAAUUAGCCUGAUGUUAUGGUGCAUGCCUGUAGUCCCAGCUACUCGGGAGGCUGAGGCAGGAGAAUUGCUUGAACCUGGGAGGCAGAGGUUGCCGUGAGCCGAGAUCGUGCCACUGCAUUCCAGCCUGGCGACAAAACGAGACUCUGUCUCAAAAAAAAAAAAGAAAAACAAACAAACAAAAACAAAACGAAGUGUGUGUUUAGACUUUGAUCCACUUCCCAUAAAGAAACAUCUACCACAAAGCAAAACAAAAAGCAACUGUGUUGACUGAAAGCAAGAUUUCAGAACAGGGCCUGGAAAGUGUCCCCCGAAAAUGCUUCAGAGUGAAAACUUACACGAAAGAACUUCUGGUUAAACGUGGCAGAGGAGUCUCUUGUGAAUUGUGAAUCUCUGCUCCCUCCCAAGCCCUACCAAAUACAACAAUACAGGAGUAAAAAAGAGUUAAAAAAAAAAAAACAAAAACCCGACAAGGUCUCUGAGAAUAGAAGAGGAGGCAGCAGCAGACGGAGGAUGUCACCACAUUUUCGUAAGAGUUUCACUCUCAGAGGAGGAUUUUGUUCUUCAAUUGUGGAGUGAUCUCUAUCACCAGUGACUAAAGAUGUUGGAGCACAGAGAGCCAUACCCCAAAAUAUGAUGCUUCGGCAUGCUGACUGCUUUGAAAAUUGAAAGGCCUCAGAAAUAAUCCUCAGUGCCAGGGUCUCCCUCUGACCUCCCCCUACCUCCCUUUCUCUCUGAUCCUGUCUCUCCCAAAGCACAGAAUGAAGCUGUUCUCUGAAUUCCCUUAUCUACCUAGAAACUGGACCCCCAAAGAGGAACACAAUUUGCCUUUGAUCCCUUCCCUGAAAUUUCAUUAACCAGAGAAAAUUAAAACUUCUAUCACAAAGGAAGAGACUGAACAUUAAACACCAUAGCUACAGCCCAGACAAACUUCUUCCCAAACCAUUGUUUGUUCUCCUGCCUGUUAAAUUGCCAGAGAAUCAUUCACAAGAUAAAGUCUGCCUUCUGGGUCCAUUCAUUCCCCACUAAAAAUCUUUUACUCCUACACCCUCAUGUCUCCUUCCUCCAUGAAGAAGGGUCUAUAAACCUCUAGGCCUCAUUGGGUUAUUGGGUAAUCAUUCUCAUGCAGUUCCCCUGUGCUCUGCAUGUUAAAUAAAUUUGUAUGCCUUUUUCUCCUACCUGCCUUUUGUCAUUUUCAGUGAACCUUCAGAAGGUAAAGGCAGAAGCUUUCCUUCUUUGCCCCUAUAGUGUCAACAACAGCCAGCCAGGCAAAGGGUUUCAGAAACCCAAGUGGGAUUAAGAUGAUUAGCCACAUGGCUCUAUUCUACAAACUAGUGGUCAGAAUAACAAGCGUUUGCUUAUUAGGAGGUCGAGGUGGGAGAA